CAAUAGCGUAUAUUAAAGUUGUUGCAGUUAAAAAGCUCGUAGUUGGAUUUCUGUGAGAGUGCCGGUGUCGGCUGAUGCUUGUACGCAGGCGCUCUUACAUCCUUCCGUUAACUGUUCUUGGCAUUUUAUUGCUGGUUCAGGGCUCAGAUAUUUUACCUUGGGAAAAUUAGAGUGUUUCAGGCAGGCUUAUGCCGGAAUACAUUAGCAUGGAAUAAUGGAACAGGACCUGUGCGUCUCUCGGGGCGCCGGUCUCCGUUGUUGGUUUCGGGGACUAAUGUAAUGAUUAAUAGGGAUAGUUGGGGGCAUUAGUAUUUAAUAGUCAGAGGUGAAAUUCUCGGAUUUGUUAAAGACUAACUUAUGCGAAAGCAUUUGCCAAGGAUGUUUUCAUUAA
rnacentral:rRNA from 1 species